rnacentral:rRNA from 1 species
UACGUAGGGUGCGAGCGUUGUCCGGAAUUAUUGGGCGUAAAGAGCUCGUAGGCGGUCUGUCGCGUCGGUCGUGAAAACUUGGGGCUUAACCCUGAGCUUGCGGUCGAUACGGGCAUGACUGGAGUUCGGUAGGGGAGACUGGAAUUCCUGGUGUAGCGGUGAAAUGCGCAGAUAUCGGGAGGAACACCGGUGGCGAAGGCGGGUCUCUGGGCCGAUACUGACGCUGAGGAGCGAAAGCAUGGGGAGCGAACAGG